GGAAGAUCAAAAAGCCCACACGAGCCCUUUCCUGAUUGUAUCUUACUCAACUCCGUCUGGCCAACAUAUUGGUUGCAUAUAUCUUAACCAUUCCCUUUAUUGGCUACUCCAAACUUCACCCCUUCCUUCCUCAUUCUUAGCAGAUUUUACUUCGCAGAGAAAAAGAUAGAGACCUUGGUGAUAGGAGUGAUAGCAAGUGACUUUCUGAACUGUCGGAGCCCUGCCCAAACUCACACGCUUAUCUGUUGGUGCUGCAGGCAUCCAGAACAUACCACUGCGGAAGAGCUUUGUUUCAUUUUCUUUUCUUUUGGACUCUGCUUAUCUAUCUAAAAGCAGAGCCUCCCAAAAGAAUUCAACUCCCCGGGAGUUUAGCAACCAGGAAAGACUGACUCCUAUCCCUGGAGAGGAGAAUUUGGCUCAGGGGAAGAUUAGCCCUGAGCUAACAUCUAUGCCCAUCUUCCUCUAUUUCAUAUGUGGGACACCUGCCACAGCGUGGCUUGGUAAGUGGUGCGUAUGUCCAUGCCCAGGAUUCAAACCAGCGAACCCCGGGCUGCUGAAGUGGAGCGCUGCGCCACCGGGUGGACCCCUGACUUUGACAGUUUUGAGGAAUGCUGGUCAGGUAUUUUGUGGAAUGCCCCUCCAUGGGGAUUUGUAUGAUGUUAUUCUCUUGGUUAGGCUGGGGGUCUGGGUUUUUGGG
rnacentral:lncRNA from 1 species